rnacentral:rRNA from 1 species
CGCGGCAUGCUUACACNUGCAAGUCGAACGGCAGCACGGGUGCUUGCACUGGUGGCGAGUGGCGAACGGGUGAGUAAUACAUCGGAACAUGUCCUGUAGUGGGGGAUAGCCCGGCGAAAGCCGGAUUAAUACCGCAUACGAUCUAUGGAUGAAAGCGGGGGACUUCCGGGCCUCGCGCUAUAGGGUUGGCCGAUGGCUGAUAGCUAGUUGGUGGGGUAAAGGCCUACCAAGGCGACGAUCAGUAGCUGGUCUGAGAGGACGACCAGCCACACUGGGACUGAGACACGGCCCAGACUCCUACGGGAGGCAGCAGUGGGGAAUUUUGGACAAUGGGCGAAAGCCUGAUCCAGCAAUGCCGCGUGUGUGAAGAAGGCCUUCGGGUUGUAAAGCACUUUUGUCCGGAAAGAAAUCCUUGGCUCUAAUACAGUCGGGGGAUGACGGUACCGGAAGAAUAAGCACCGGCUAACUACGUGCCAGCAGCCGCGGUAAUACGUAGGGUGCAAGCGUUAAUCGGAAUUACUGGGCGUAAAGCGUGCGCAGGCGGUUUGCUAAGACCGAUGUGAAAUCCCCGGGCUCAACCUGGGAACUGCAUUGGUGACUGGCAGGCUAGAGUAUGGCAGAGGGGGGUAGAAUUCCACGUGUAGCAGUGAAAUGCGUAGAGAUGUGGAGGAAUACCGAUGGCGAAGGCAGCCCCCUGGGCCAAUACUGACGCUCAUGCACGAAAGCGUGGGGAGCAAACAGGAUUAGAUACCCUGGUAGUCCACGCCCUAAACGAUGUCAACUAGUUGUUGGGGAUUCAUUUCCUUAGUAACGUAGCUAACGCGUGAAGUUGACCGCCUGGGGAGUACGGUCGCAAGAUUAAAACUCAAAGGAAUUGACGGGGACCCGCACAAGCGGUGGAUGAUGUGGAUUAAUUCGAUGCAACGCGAAAAACCUUACCUACCCUUGACAUGGUCGGAAUCCUGAAGAGAUUCGGGAGUGCUCGAAAGAGAACCGGCGC